rnacentral:lncRNA from 1 species
AUUGUGGCAAGCCUUAUAUAUGUAGGUAUAACCUACACAAAACUUACAUAAUCCCUCGUGGCGAAGUUUUCUUGCAAGCCAUAAAUUCAGAGGAAUCUGUGUUGAUCUGUGCUAGUGCCUAGUGAAAACAAUAAUCAACCAAGGUAUGUCUGCCGUGAGCUAGGAAAGUGACCAGUAUAAUUUAUGCGAAUUAAGUUUAUAGGACAGAGGUCAGGAGCCCUAUCUUUCUUAGCAGCCUAAGUGCGCAUAAGUGCAUAUACGGGGUGCUCCACGAGAAGCGUAUCACCAAAGUGAUCCCCCAAUCUAAAAGAUGUACCCUUCGAACCCCCUCUUCUGACGAAAACGUCGAGCCCAGAAAACCUGUGACUUGGGUCAACAUUAGUGAGGCGUAGCAACCCUUAGGAAGCCCAGCGCGUAAG